GUGUGGCAUCUUUCUGAACUUCCUCGACCGUCCGAGCUUUCAUAAUACCAUCCGAACUUCUCUGAUAAUGAGCUCCUCCAUUCAUCUACCGAGCUGCUCCAAACGCUUUCUGAGCUUCACUAUCAGUCGAUUCUCUACGAUGGUCGACUAUUCUCCGAAUCUCUUCCAGACUUCUCCCAACCACGAUCAACUUUACUCUGAACUUCCUCCGGACUUCAUCAAUGACCGAGCUUCUUCAGC
rnacentral:lncRNA from 1 species